rnacentral:lncRNA from 1 species
AGUCAAAGGAGGCCCAGAUACGGGGGAGAGAGCAGUGCUGCUCAUGGGCCUUCUGGUUUGAGCGAGCAGGAGUGGCAGCGCAUGGAACAGAUGGUGCGCGAGAGUGAGGGCCGGGUGGCGAGGCGUGUGGAGGAGGGCCUAUUCACGAGGCUGAAGAAUUGGGCCGAGGAGACCUUUGGGUGUAUGCGUUGUCGAUGCUCGCAUAGCACCGAUGUACGUCAGCCCAUGCCUGCUCCAAGACCUCA